CACUUAAACCGUGUUCGACGUUCACGCACCAUAAUAUAACACGUAUAUAUACGUACUUAUUUACCGCGUUUGCCUAGAUUAUUGUACCUAUAAGACCGUUGACUUAACCGCUUUUAUUCUCACGACCGUCGCCGUCGCCGUGUUUCGUCCGGCCGCCCCUCAGAGAUGCAUCGAAAAGUCAUACGACACGUUCGGGCAGUGUAAAAACAUA